AUUGAACGCUGGCGGCAGGCCUAACACAUGCAAGUCGAACGAGUGGCGGACGGGUGAGUAAUGUCUGGGAAACUGCCCGAUGGAGGGGGAUAACUACUGGAAACGGUAGCUAAUACCGCAUACCAUCGGAUGUGCCCAGGUGGGAUUAGCUAGUGGGUGGGGUAACGGCUCACCUAGGCGACGAUCCCUAGCUGGUCUGAGAGGAUGACCAGCUACACGGGAACUGAGACAGGGUCCAGACUCCUACGGGAGGCAGCAGUGGGGAAUAUUGGGCAAUGGGCGCAAGCAUGAUGCAGCCAUGCCGCGUGUAUGAAGAAGGCCUUCGGGUUGUAAAGUACGUGCAGCGAGGAGGCGUUACUCGCAGAGGAAGCACCGGCGAACUCCGUGCCAGCAGCCGCGGUAAUUC
rnacentral:rRNA from 1 species